CGAAGGUGGGAUAGAUGAUUGGGGUGAAGUCGUAACAAGGUAGCCGUAUCGGAAGGUGCGGCUGGAUCACCUCCUUUCU
rnacentral:rRNA from 1 species